CAGCAGCCACGGGAAUACAGAGGGUGCAAGCGUUAAUCGGAAUUACUGGGCGUAAAGCGCGCGUAGGUGGUUUGUUAAGUUGGAUGUGAAAUCCCCGGGCUCAACCUGGGAACUGCAUCCAAAACUGGCAAGCUAGAGUAUGGUAGAGGGUGGUGGAAUUUCCUGUGUAGCGGUGAAAUGCGUAGAUAUAGGAAGGAACACCAGUGGCGAAGGCGACCACCUGGACUGAUACUGACACUGAGGUGCGAAAGCGUGGGGAGCAAACAGGAUUAGAUACCCCAGUAGUCCCUGUCUCUUAUAC
rnacentral:rRNA from 1 species